GGAACUAAACAAGGCCCUGAAUGUAGACGAAAUCAAAAACUAAUUGCAUAGUUUGGUUGUACUUUGCGAGACGAAUCUUUUGAGCCUAAUUAGUCCAUAUUUGGACAAUAAUUCACAAAUACAAACGAAACACUACAGUAUGUUACAGUGCUGGCACAGUGAUUUUGGUUGUCCAAAAUCGGGCAACUAAACAGGGCCUCACACGACUACAACAAUCCAAUCAUUAGCUCAUUAAUUGUACAUAUUUUGAUGAAGUGGCGUCCAACAAGACCUAACUAAGGUUUUUUAUUUUCAAAAAACCACAUAUGUAUUUAGCGAAUUAUUAUCUAUGUCGUAAGUGCCGGUAGAUGGUCACAAGACUCACAAUUUUAGUGGCUCAUUCAGUGCUCUGAUCCACCCU
rnacentral:lncRNA from 1 species